rnacentral:RNase_P_RNA from 1 species
AAACCCAAGGAGAUAUGUGCUGUAGAGCAAUCUACAGAGGAAAGUCCGGACACUAUAGAGGAGCAAUCCUCAUAAAACCGAACAGCUAACGGCUGCCUCCUGAGCAAUCAGGACGGGAAAGUACCACAGAGACUAUACCGCCUACUUCGGUAGGUAAGGGUGAAAAGAGUGAGGUAAGAGCUCACAAUUGUGCAUGGUAACAUACACAAGUGGAAAACCCUCGGCGGUGCAAGUGAGUUGGCCCUCGCAAGAGGAGGCUCAUGCUUGAGGCGAUAAGCG